rnacentral:lncRNA from 1 species
GUUGCCAUGGUGACAGUGGCGUUCCCAGGCUGCGCUCCCUUCCUGCUGGCUCUGGACAGGAGGGUUUGUCAGGCUGUGUCUCCUGUGGCUGCUGGACGGGCGCAGAAGAAAGGGGGCCCUGAGAGCCGAACAGGGAGCUGACCAUCCGGACUGCCAGGCUGGCUCCUGACCACCCCCGGUGCCCACAGGGAGGAGGCCGGUGGUGUCCUGCUCCUGGGUGACCCUCUGGGGCCUCCUCCAGGAAGCCGUCCUGUGGGCAGAGUGCCACGGGGAACCUUGGCUCUGCCUGUUGGUGUUUGUCAUGAUCUUGCUCUCCAGGGGAUGGUGCAUCUCUCCUAAGUGUGGCCUCUUGUAACAGAGGAAACGAAAUCGGGGAGAGGGUGCCUGUGGAAGUGCGAGGUUCACUGGGAAGACCAACUUUUGCUUUACUGAGGCUGUAAGAUGCGCCUUCCAGGUCCUUGGUCACCAGCUGUCCCUGGCUCCUUGGCAGUGUGUUUCUGACGCACUAGUCUGUGAAUCAGGACAGCGAGAACCUCUUGGCCGCCGUGUGGAUUUCCAGGGUGUCCCGGACAAGCAGCACCAUUGUUUGAAUCAGCUUGGAGUGAAAAGAAGGAAUGUGUGCUGUGUCUGUGUCCACACGCACACAGAUCCAGUUUUUAAACUACUGAAACAGCAGCACACGCUGGUCCCAGAAUGGCUGUCACGGGAGCUUACGUCGUGCAGGAAAGUCAAGCACGCCUCAGGGGGUGGCUGUCCCUCCAGCCAUUGUCACGCCAGCGGAUGCGUUGGCUGAAGGCCAGCUGGCUUUGGACGCAGGGUCUUCUCUGUGCUGGGCAGGCCCCCGUGGGCACCUGUGACCUUCAGUCAGAAAAAUGGAGCCCAGACUUGUGCCCGACGAGCCCACUCAGAGGAGUCUGUGGAGCAGGAGCCCCUAAAAGGCCUCAGGAUGGCCCCAGGACAGCGCUGCCCUCCCGGCCCUGGGACACGCGGUGAGAGAGCAGAGGAGGAUGGGCAGGACCAGCCUUCCCUCUCCAGUGUGGAAGCGUUGACUCGCCCCAGCCCCUCCUGGCUCCUGCUGCCGGGCAGCUCAGCCGCUGAGAGUCUGCGAGCCCUGGAAAGAACAAGGGAGAGGGACACCCUGGGGUGGCCGGGCCUGUCCCUUCACUUGGCUGGGAGAGGAGGGCUGCACCCUGAGGCCGAGACCCUGAGGGCACAUCUGUGAGUUCCACCCGGCUUUCCAGAGACUCAACUGGGAUGUUUACAGCGAAGGUACUGGUGAUGCACACUGCACAGAUAAAAGAGGAAGCCCUGGGGCCGGCUCCGUGGCCGAGUGGUUAAGUUCGCG